GACAGAGGGUGCGAACGUUGUUCGGAAUUACUGGGCGUAAAGCGCGUGUAGGCGGCAGCGCAAGUCGGGCGUGAAAUCCCACGGCUCAACCGUGGAAGUGCACUCGAAACUGCGCAGCUAGAGUCCUGGAGAGGAAGGUGGAAUGCGUUGGUGUAGAGGUGAAAUUCGUAGAUAUCAAGCGGAACACCGGUGGCGAAGGCGACCUUCUGGACAGUGACUGACGCUGAGACGGCGAAAGCGUGGGGAGCAAACAGGG
rnacentral:rRNA from 1 species